GAAUCCUGCCGAAAAGUAGGAGUGCCCUUCGGGGAAUUCAGUGACAGGCGCUGCAUGGCUGUCGUCAGCUCGUGUCGUGAGAUGUUGGGUUAAGUCUCGCAACGAGCGCAACCCUUAUUCUUAGUUGCCAGCAUUAAGUUGGGCACUUUAAGGAGACUGCCUGGGUUAACCAGGAGGAAGGUGAGGAUGACGUCAAGUCCUCAUGGCCCUUAUACCUAGGGCUACACACGUAAUACAAUGGUCAGCACAAAGGGAUGCGAACUCGCGAGGGGGAGCAAAUCUCAAAAAGCUGAUCUCAGUCCGGAUUGAAGUCUGCAACUCGACUUCAUGAAGUUGGAAUCGCUAGUAAUCGUAAAUCAGCAUGCUACGGUGAAUACGUUCCCGGGCCUUGUACACACCGCCCGUCACACCAUGGGAGUUGGUUUUACCUGAAGUCGUGGCCCUAACCUUCGGGAAGGGAGCGCCUACGGUCGAACUGAUGACUGGGGUGAAGUCGUAACAAGGUAACC
rnacentral:rRNA from 1 species